UUUUGGUUGCACUGGCUGGGACUGAGGGUCAGUUCCAGUUUCCCUUGCUCAUGUCUGUGGGUCUCUGCAUGUGUGCAUUUUGGUGUGUUUACGUUUGAGUUUUGUUGUUGGGGGUUUUUUUUGUUGUUGUUGUUUUUUUUUUUUUUUGCUUGUUUGUUUUGGUUUUUUUUUUUUUUUAAUAAAGAAAAGGUGUAUAUUUUUGGCAAGGACAGAAACGUAGUACAGAUAUAUUUUUGCCUGUGCUGCUCAACUGUUGUCCCUCACUCCCACCCCCCAUGAUCUGGGAAAUACUAUUCCUGUUGAUAAGACAGGAAUAAGAUAGGAUAAGAUAGGAUGGGCCGGGACCCUUCAGAGGCAACCCUUUGACACUUGGAAGGACUUUGGGGGACAGUUGAGAUGACCUCAGAAAUACUUUUCUAACUGCUAUUACUAGAAAGACAUCUUCAUCUCUUCCGCUCUUGUAGACCUCCUUGUCUACGAGCCAGUGAUUCUUCAGAUUCGUCUACGACCUUUUUAUCCAGGCCCACACCCUUGCCCCACGCAGAGCCAAGUACCCUGCAUUGUGGCGCAGGGGUGCUCGGGGCUCUGGAACUCUGUUCUCAGCAGUUCCCUGGGCUCCUUUCCCUGUUCUGGGCCAGGCAGGAUGCCCUAACAGAGUCAGGUCAGGCUUGCAGAGGCCUCUGGGCUGGAUGGUUUGGUGUUGGCUCCUCUUUUUUGGGGGUGGGGUGGGGUGGGGAGGCGUUUUUCGAGACAGGGUUUUCUCUGUGUAGCCCUGGCUGACUUAGAACUGGCUGUGUAGACCAGGCUGGCCUCAGACUCAGAUCUGCCUGCCUCUGCCUCCAGAGUGCUGGGAUUAGAGGCGAGCUGGUGGUGCUAUUCCAUAUCCUGAGACAUGAGGAGAGGUGUGGCCUGGUGCCGCAGCACAGGGAGAAUUAGGGUCCUUGGGAGGGACCAGGGUUCUGCAAAAUGGCUCUGAUGACCUCACCUUUUUUUUUUUUAAAGACAAGGUCCCAAGUGCUGGGGUUAAAGGCGUGCGCUACCACGCCCGGCACAAGGUCUACUCUUAAUGUAGCUUUGGUCGUCCUGGAACUUGCUAUGUAGACCAGGCUGGCCUCAGCCUCCUGAGUGCUGGGAUUAAAGGUGUGUGCCACUAUGUCUGGCUUUGGUCCAUUUUUUUUGAUAAAGAGCUUGGUAGAAGGAGAGAAAGGAUGCAGAUUUGGGGCCAUCUCUAUCUGGGAGGGGGAGGAUGUGGUUUGCAGAGCGGAAGUGGAGUCUCAGAAUGCAUGAGUGGAUCUUAAUGUCACCACCCUAAGUGAGAAGAGGUGAGCGGGUGACAGAUGCUGAGCCUGUGCCCACCAGGGCAGGGGUGGCUGGGUCAUGGCUGAUGGAUGCUGAUCAGGGGGUCAUUGGAGCUGGCUUUACAGGCUACUGCUCUAAACCUAGGAGUGACGUGACCUCAGCAACAGCAGUGACAAGCCUUUGUACCUGGCCUUCUGGUCAUAACUGCCUGACUGUCAAGCCUUUUAGCUGCAGCUGGUUGGCUGGCUGUCCCUGUGUGUGUGGUGAGUGUGGUGGUGUGAGUGUAGUAGGGUUGUGCCCGUGGCGGGAAGGUAUCUAUGUAGCACUGACUGUCUUAGCUCUGAGCUGACGAAUCCUCCACAGACAAUGACACUUUAAGGGUUGCCUUUAAGAGAAGAAAUAAAUUGUAUGUCCCAUCCCCCUCUCCCUCAUCCCCCAGCUUGUGGGUGUCCCUCUCAAGCUCCUGGGUCUACUGCUGGUGAUCCCUUCCCUUCCUUGUGUGAAGACCCAGGGAGUUCCCACCCUAGACUCCUAGGAAGGGCCUAGACAAAUGAGAGCCCAAAGAGGCUACCAGUUCCAUUUCCUCUUCCCACCCUGGAAAUGCUGACCUGUUUUCAGAGACACAGGCCCGCCCUGCUAGUCUCAGUCAUCCCAAGAGUGCAGAGGGCCAAAGGGAGUAACAGACUGCUGGUGCCUGGGGAGAGGUGCCCACUAGGACAGAGGGAGGUGGGGCCAGGGAGAGGUGCCCGCUAGGACGGAGGGAGGUGGGGUCAGGGAGUCCCUCUGUUCCCUCCAGCCGCUUCCUCCUGGAUUACAGGUGUGUCUAGUUCCCAGCAGACCACCUUGUCUUGACCUACUGAAGCGUUGGGGACUGAGGACCGUCCUCUUUCUCCUGUGUUCACUUUCUCCAGCCCCACUUGGGACUGAAGACCCGAAGGACUGUGGCUCCCUUCCUUCCAUCCCAGCCUGUUUCCAUGUAGCAGACCCUUCCUAAGGGAGCAAGGAAGGGAAGCCACAGAUUGCAAACCCAGGGGCUCAUUUUUCAUUCUUUCUGAAACCUUUAUAUCCUCAGCCCAAGAGACGGUGUUCCCCUGCGACCUCCAAGCCUGGAAUUGUGCAUAGCCUGGGUCUUGUAUCUUUGUAUAACGGAUGUUAUUUGUACGAAGGGCAGUUCGUAAACAGCACUUGUUCUUUUAAUAAAAGAAUGUUUUACUAAAAAAAGAAAAUCC
rnacentral:lncRNA from 1 species